GACGAACGCUGGCGGCGUGCCUAAUACAUGCAAGUCGAGCGCAGGAAGCCGUCUGAACCCUUCGGGGGGACGACGGUGGAAUGAGCGGCGGACGGGUGAGUAACACGUAAAGAACCUGCCCAUAGGUCUGGGAUAACCACGAGAAAUCGGGGCUAAUACCGGAUGUGUCAUCGGACCGCAUGGUCCGCUGAUGAAAGGCGCUCCGGCGUCGCCCAUGGCUGGCUUUGCGGUGCAUUAGCUAGUUGGUGGGGUAACGGCCCACCAAGGCGACGACGCAUAGCCGACCUGAGAGGGUGAUCGGCCACACUGGGACUGAGACACGGCCCAGACUCCUACGGGAGGCAGCAGUAGGGAAUCUUCCACAAUGGACGAAAGUCUGAUGGAGCAACGCCGCGUGAACGAUGAAGGCUUUCGGGUCGUAAAGUUCUGUUGUAAGGGAAGAACAAGUGCCGCAGGCAAUGGCGGCACCUUGACGGUACCUUGCGAGAAAGCCACGGCUAACUACGUGCCAGCCGCCGCCGUAA
rnacentral:rRNA from 1 species